UUGGGCAAGAAGGAAACCUUGGUGGAGGACAAAUUGAGUCUGCUGAAUAGUAACUGGAUAGCUGUCACCUCCAGAGCUCAAGAAUGGCUCAAUCUUUUGUUGGAGUACCAGAAACACAUGGAAACCUUUAAUCAGAAUGUACAAGACAUCACAAAGUGGAUCAUUCACACAGAUGAACUUUUGGAUGAAGCUGAAAAAAAGAAACCGCAACAAAAAGAAGACAUUUUUAAGCGUUUAAAGGCCGAAAUGAAUGACAUCCGCCCAAAGGUGGACUCCACACGUGACCAAGCAACAAACUUGAUGGCAAACAGAGGUGGCCACUGCAGGAAAAUAGUAGAGCCG